GGGGUUGGGGAUUUAGCUCAGUGGUAGAGCGCUUGCCUAGCAAGCGCAAGGCCCUGGGUUCGGUCCUCAGCUCUGGAAAAAAAAAAAAAAAAAAAAAGACAAAAUAACAAAAAGACCAAAAAAAAACAAGGUAACUGGCACACACAACCUUU
rnacentral:scRNA from 1 species